rnacentral:rRNA from 1 species
UACGUAGGCGGCAAGCGUUGUUCGGAAUUACUGGGCGUAAAGAGUACGUAGGUGGUUUGCCAAGUCCGAUGUGAAAUCUCCUGGCUUAACUGGGAGGGUGCGUUAGAUACUGGCAGGCUUGAGUGUGGGAGAGGAGAGCGGAAUUCCUGGUGUAGCGGUGAAAUGCGUAGAUAUCAGGAGGAACGCCUGUGGUGUAGACGGCUCUCUGGACCAUUACUGACACUGAGGUACGAAAGCGUGGGGAGCAAACAGG